GGGCAUUUCAAAACCACAUGCACUCCCAAUCAGUGUGGAUUACUCAAGGCGUGAACAUCCUUUUUUUUUACGCAAAAGUAAAAAGCCCACACCUAAUGACAUUUAUUAUCUGCAAGAAACACGCCCACACCUUCUUCAUCAGGUUGAUGUUGAAAUGUAAACGAGGAGAAACACUGAUGGCCGGUUCAUUUGGCUGACUAUUUUCAUACAAAUUAUACUGGAAAAAGAAAACAUUGAAAGAUAUAUUUAUAAAUAUUUAAUCCUUUUAAACACUCUCAUCUUACAGAAACAAUCUCAACAUGUAUUUCUGGAAAAAUACUUACUUUAUUACCUCAGUCCUGUUGGUAUUUUUUGCAUUCAUGAGACUUGGAGCAAACUCGGAAACAGAACCUACAAUGACAGCUCAAAUAACAUUGACAACAGUUUUGACCCCUAUGAGCACGUCCACAUUAGAAUCAUCUACACUUGAAAGUGGUUCAACACUGGAAGCCACAUUAUUUACAACAGGUACCUCUCCAUCUUCACUGUCUACCACAACAGAACAAAGUACAUCAGAAUUCAUUUCAUCUACAACAGAAGUAUUGUCAUCUAAUGUAGAACAAACAAGUCAUCUAACACAAAUCACUCAGUUUCCUUUUAUCACAGAAUCAGAAUCUACAACGACAGCUCAAUCAACAUUAACAACAGUUAUGUUCCCUACGAGCAUGUCCACAUUAGAAUCAUCUACAACUGAAAGUGGUACAACAGUGAAAACGACAUUAUUCACAACAGAUAUGUCUCCAUCUUCACUGUUUUCUACAACAAAAGGACAAACUGCAUCAGAAUUCACUUCAUCAACAACAGAAAUAUAUUCAUCCAGUGCAGAGAAAACAACAAGCCAACAGGCACAAACCACUCAGAUUAGUUCUAUCACAGAAACUGGACAUACUACAGCACAAUCAAUAUUCACAACAGUUAUGACCCCAACAAGCAUGUCCACAUUAAAAUCGACUACAUCUGAAAGUGGUUCAACACUGGAAACUAUAAUAUCUAGAAGUACUUCUUUAGCUCCAUCUUCACUAUUUACUACAACAGAAGGACAAACUUCCCCUAAUCCUCAAACAAUAUCCCCAGCUGUUACAGCCCAAACAUUUAGCAUUUUUACAUCAUCCCAGUCGAGCCCUUCUGCUUCAACUAGUACCCAGAAAACUUCAUCAACAUCAACAGAACCUCAUUCAUCUUCAACAACUCUCAACUCAGUUUCAACAACUCAAAACUGUCUGGAGAAUUGUCAGUGUCAUGGGUCCCCAUGCAUCUUCAAUGUAACAUCUGGGAAAUGUCAGUGUCAAUGCAGUUCUUUCACUUUUGGAGAGUAUUGCAAUUUUGCAUAUGACUUAUCCACAGUUUUUUGGUGUGAGUAUUUAUCAUACUACUAUUCCUAAAUGAUCAUUAUUUAUUUGUUUAUGAUUUAACGCCAUUCGAGCUACCUUGGCUCAUUUCAUGGCGAGAAUGAGGUUAGUUAAAUUAAGUUUUUAAUUUGAUCUUUAAGGAAGUUCUAAGCAACCAUGCAUUAUUAUAUUUUUUUCUUUCUUGUUUUCUCAUGAUCACAACUUAAUUUUCUUGUGAUCUCGACAUAGCGAGUUGUUUUCUCGUUAUCAUGACUUAUUUUUCUCGUGAUCUUAUCAUAACAAUGGCUGUUCUCUAAGUUGCACAACUACACCAACUGGUGGCAGUAUAGAACUAUUGAUGGGGAGUUCUAUACUGUAUAUCCACUAGAUAUGCAUGGUGAGUCUACUGUUGCUAUAGUAACGUAUGCAACCUUGACAGUUACAUUCUAAAAGGCUUAACCUGGCUAUGGGCUUAAUGCGUUAAUUGACCAUAUGCACGGAGCGCUAUUUAGAACUUCCGGAUAAAGAUAAGCCAGCUCAUAAUCUUCCAGUGAAGCUCAUUUUAUAUGUGCUAUACAUUGGUAGAGACUCUCACAGAAACCUCUCCUGCCUUAUUCUUAUCAGAAACUGAGAAACAAAACAAUUGCAACAACGUAAAUAAUGAUAGCGGAAUUAACAUACAGUUUCAUGUUAUUAAAGAACAUAUAAUUUUAUAUGCAGAGUCUGGUAAUCCCAGGAAAGUACCCAGACACAUAACUGUACAUUUGAAUGCUGACAGAUAAACUCUAUCAUAACUGUUUAUGCAGUUAAGCUAAUCUCUUAAACGACAUCGUAAUGGUAUUCUCGAUAAUCAAUCUCUUACCUUCAUAGUCAUUUUUUAAAUAUUAUAAAAAUGUAAAGCAUUUAUUAUUUCUCAAUGCUGUGCAGUAAAAUUUUCAUUAUUAAAGGUUCACUUUCUAAUUUACGAAGACGACAUGAAGAAAUGUGUUAAAAACGUGUCUCGGCG
ensembl:lncRNA